GUGCCAGCAGCCGCGGUAAGACGUAGGGUCCAAGCGUUGUCCGGAUUUACUGGGCGUAAAGAGCAUGUAGGCGGUCUGUUAAGUGUGAAGCUAAAUCUCCGGGCUCAACCCGGAAACUAUUUCGCAUACUGGCAGACUUGAGGAAUGCAGAGGUAAGUGGAAUUCCUGGUGUAGCGGUGAAAUGCGUUGAUAUCAGGAGGAACACCCAUGGCGAAGGCAGCUUACUGGGCAUUAUCUGACGCUGAGACGCGAAAGCGUGGGUAGCAAACAGGAUUAGAUACCCCUGUAGUCC
rnacentral:rRNA from 1 species